GGGGGGGGGGGGGGGGGGGGGUGGCGGGUGGGGGGGGAGGGGGGGGGGGGGGGGUGGUGCGGGGGUCAGCGGCGGAGGGGUGAGGAGUGCCUAGGGAUUUGCGUGGGAGUGGGGGAUACCGGCCGGCAAGGGGGGCUAAUCCCGCAUCCGUCCUGGGGGGGAAAGUGGGGGAUCUUCGGAGCUCACGCUAUCAGAUGCGGCUAGGUCGGAUUAUCUAGUUGGUGGGGUAAAGGCCCACCAAGGCUGCGAUCCGUAACUGGUAUGAGAGGAUGAUCAGUCACACUGGAACUGAGACACGGUCCAGACGCCUACGGGAUGCAGCAGUGGGGAAUAUUGGACAAUGGGCGAAAGCCUGAUCCAGCCAUGCCGCGUGUGUGAAGAAGGUCUUCGGAUUGUAAAGCACUUUAAGUUGGGAGGAAGGGCAGUAAGUUAAUACCUUGCUGUUUUGACGUUACCAACAGAAUAAGCACCGGCUAACUUCGUG
rnacentral:rRNA from 1 species